rnacentral:rRNA from 1 species
AUGAACCUCCACGAGAGGAAGCUCGCCGUCAAGUUCUAUGCCAACGUCGCCAUGGCGGCCGCGCGCUGUGCCACCCGCACCGACGCAAGGUGGCCCAGUGCCAUCUUAGCCUCCGAAGCGGGCGCCUCACCAUCAUCCGGCGCGUGCAAGAUGCAGAGGUGCAGGACAAUCGUGAGCAGGUGCUGCCGGCGGAAGAAGAGCUGGAUUAGAUCAGGUCGUGCUGGUGCUGGCGCUGUUGCGAGGAGGCUGUUGAGGACGAGGACUAUGGCGCUGAGGGACGUGAUACCGGGAGGCCGGGACGCCGCCGUUGACCAGGCCACCCUGCUACGCGAGGCCAUGGACUACGCGGUGCACCUGCGCGCUCAGGUCGACGUGCUCCGCCACUUAUCGGAAGCCGUGCAAAGAUCCAGCUCCAUCUCUCGGCAGGGUCAGCAGUGA